AGAAAAUGUUCUCUAUCCCUUUGCCAAGGAGAAUGAAUCAACCGCUCCCAGAAGCCACCAUGGACCAUUGCAGAUUGGUGAGACAUGGCACACAGCCACCUCAUUCCUUUCCUGCCCUCAGCCCCUCUGCAGCUGCUCGGGACUCGCUCUUAGUUCUUGAUCGGAUGCAAAGUUGCCAUUCAGAUGGGAUCUGUGGUCAGGCACUGCCUGCUAGCACAGCAUUGUAAUGUAGGACCUUGGUGUAAACACUGUCUGCUGGUGAUUAGAGGUCAUCCUGCAUUUCUCCUUUCACCAGAGCAUAAAUACAAGCAUGGGUGUUGCAGAUGUCCUGCACGUGCGACAGGCUGGAUUUGAGCUGGCUAGGGGCAGCGCGCAUCUUUGGACCAGGACUAACAGAUGAACGUACCACUGUGAAGCUCUGAAUAACCUUCGGCCUCCAAAAAUAAGAAGGUUUUU
rnacentral:lncRNA from 1 species